GGCCGCGGGAAUUCGAUUCAGGCCUAACACAUGCAAGUCGAACGGGAUCUUCGGAUCUAGUGGCGGACGGGUGAGUAACGCGUGGGAACGUGCCCUUUGGUUCGGAAUAGCCCUGGGAAACUGGGAGUAAUACCGGAUACGGUCGAGAGACGAAAGAUUUAUCGCCGAAGGAUCGGCCCGCGUUGGAUUAGGUAGUUGGUGGGGUAAUGGCCUACCAAGCCGACGAUCCAUAGCUGGUUUGAGAGGAUGAUCAGCCACACUGGGACUGAGACACGGCCCAGACUCCUACGGGAGGCAGCAGUGGGGAAUCUUAGACAAUGGGGGAAACCCUGAUCUAGCCAUGCCGCGUGAGCGAUGAAGGCCUUAGGGUUGUAAAGCUCUUUCAGUGGGGAAGAUAAUGACGUACCCACAGAAGAAGCCCC
rnacentral:rRNA from 1 species